UUUCUCUCUCUUCGGCAAGGACGUCGUCUUCUCCAGCGACUUACCGCCAUAGCUAGACCUGUUCAGAAUUUCCGAUGACUCUGCUUUAGAUUUUCUUCUUCUUUGACGACUUUGCUUUACAUUUUCAAAAGCUCAAUCUGUAACCAUGACCAGAUCUAUUCUCCUACCCCCUCUUUGUUUCCACCAUUGAGAGUCUGCCAUCUCUAUCACACCUCUGACUCUUACCUCAACGGAGAAAAUAGUUCUGAAACUUUCCG
rnacentral:lncRNA from 1 species